rnacentral:rRNA from 1 species
UACAGAGGGUGCAAGCGUUGUUCGGAAUUAUUGGGCGUAAAGGGCGCGUAGGCGGCCUGGCAAGUGGAAGGUGAAAUCCCUCGGCUUAACCGAGGAACUGCCCUCCAAACUGCUUGGCUUGAGUCCGGGAGAGGUGAGUGGAAUUCCCAGUGUAGCGGUGAAAUGCGUAGAUAUUGGGAGGAACACCAGUGGCGAAGGCGGCUCACUGGACCGGAACUGACGCUGAGGCGCGAAAGCGUGGGGGAGCAAACGGGG